rnacentral:rRNA from 1 species
GACGAACGCUGGCGGCAUGCCUAACACAUGCAAGUCUAGGGGUAGCAAUACCACUGGCGCACGGGUGAGUAACACGUAGGUUAUCUGCCCCCAUCACAGACAUAACCCCGGGAAACCGGGGCUAAUAUCUGAUGAGGUCGCGAGAUCAAAGCUUCGGCGGAUGGGGAUGAGCCUGCGGCUGAUUAGCUAGUUGGUGAGGUAAUGGCUCACCAAGGCGACGAUCAGUAGCUGGUCUGAGAGGACGAACAGCCACACUGGAACUGAGACACGGUCCAGACUCCUACGGGAGGCAGCAGUGAGGAAUAUUGGUCAAUGGGAGCAAUCCUGAACCAGCAAUGCCGCGUGUGGGAUGACAGGGCUUCGCCUUGUAAACCAACUGUCGGACGGGACGAAAGGAGGCCUCGGGCCUCUGGGACGGUACGUCCAAAGGAAGGGUCGGGCUAACGUAACCGUGCCAGCAGCCGCGGU